AGUGAACGCUGGCGGUAGGCCUAACACAUGCAAGUCGAACGGCAGCACAGUAAGAGCUUGCUCUUACGGGUGGCGAGUGGCGGACGGGUGAGGAAUACAUCGGAAUCUACUUUUUCGUGGGGGAUAACGUAGGGAAACUUACGCUAAUACCGCAUACGACCUACGGGUGAAAGCAGGGGAUCUUCGGACCUUGCGCGAUUGAAUGAGCCGAUGUCGGAUUAGUUAGUUGGUGGGGGAGAGGCCCACCAAGGCGACGAUCCUUAGCUGGUCUGAGAGGAUGACCAGCCACACUGGAACUGGGCCACGGUCCAGACUCCUACGGGAGCCAGCAGUGGGGAAUAUUGGCCAAUGGGCGCAAGCCUGAUCCAGCCAUCCCGCGUGGGUGAAGAAGGCCUUCGGGUUGUAAAGCCCUUUUGUUGGGAAAGAAAAGCAGCAGGUUAAUACCCCGCUGUUCUGACGGUACCCAAAGAAUAAGCACCGGCUAACUUCGUG
rnacentral:rRNA from 1 species